rnacentral:rRNA from 1 species
AGGGCUUCGGCCCCAGUAAAGCGGCGCACGGGUGAGUAACACGUAGGUAAUCUGCCCUCUGGUGGUGGACAACGUUCCGAAAGGAGCGCUAAUACAGCAUGAGACCACGUCCUCGAAAGGGGAUGAGGUCAAAGCCGGCCUCUUCACGAAAGCUGGCGCCAGAGGAUGAGCCUGCGGCCCAUCAGCUAGUUGGUAGGGUAAUGGCCUACCAAGGCAAAGACGGGUAGCUGGUCUGAGAGGAUGAUCAGCCACACUGGAACUGAGACACGGUCCAGACUCCUACGGGAGGCAGCAGUGGGGAAUCUUGCGCAAUGGACGAAAGCCUGACGCAGCGACGCCGCGUGAGCGAUGAAGGCCCUCGGG